rnacentral:lncRNA from 1 species
CUGCUCCGCCCCGGGGUCCUCUCCUCCCGCCCGCCGGGCCCGCCGCUCCGCUGGAAGGACGGACGGACGGUUUCCAGCCGCCCGCCGCCGAGGCUUCCCGGGAAAAGCCUCUCCCUGUUGGCGGGACUCGGCCUGGGCGGGCGGGGGCAUCCGUCCCCGCGUUGGCGGGAAAGUCCGGCGGGCACGGCCCGGGCGCAGGUAGGACCAGGGCGCAGGGUGGGCGCCGAACGGGCGGAGCGGGUGCACGGUGGGUGGGCAGGUAGGGCCGGGGCAGGGCGACUAAGGUGGGCGCAGGGCGGGGCUCAGGCAAGCGGGGCAGCCACAGCCCCCGACCCACCAGAUCCCGCCCUCUCCCCCUCCAGGACACCCCCCGACCGUCCCUCCCGUCCGGUCCCCACGGACACCGACCUCCCUCCCUUCUGGCCGCUGCCACUGAUCGAUGGAACCACCCGGAGCUGCGAGGGAGUCGACGCGUGAUGUCUCCAAUGUUUGAUCUUGUGUAGUCAUCAAAAGUACUUGACAUCAUUCGCUGACAUUCCCAGGGAUUGCGUGACUUCCAAACAGGUGAUUCUACUGGACAUGUGCAGUGAUGGGUAGAAGUGGUUCAGAGAGCCACUGCUUUCCUAACAUAGAGAGGCAAGGGCAGCGUGGCUCAGUGGAAAGAGCACGGGCUUUGGAGUCAGGGCUCAUGAGUUCGAAUCCCAGCUCUGCCACUUGUCGGCUGUGUGACUGUGGGCAAGUCACUUCACUUCUCUGCGCCUCAGUUCCCUCAUCUGUAAAAUGGGGAUUAAGACUGUGAGCCCCACGUGGGACAACCUGAUUCCCCUAUGUCUACCCCAGUGCUUAGAACAGUGCUCGGCACAUAAUAAGCGCUUAACAAAUACCAACAUUAUUAUUAUUAAGUAUAGCAGUGUUGCUUAGUGGAAGGAGUAUGGAGCUGGGCAUCAAGAGCUGUCCCUAGUUUGCUGUGUGACUUUGUGCAAAUCAUUUAGCCUCUCUGUGCCUCAGUUUUCUCCUCUGAAAGAUGGGGAGAAAACAUUGCUCUCUGCGCCCCUCAGAUUGUGAGCCCCAAACAAGACAGAAUGAUCUUAUGAUGAUAUAGUUACACUAUCCCUGAGCGCAGUGCAUGGUACACUUGAUAAAUACCAUAACUGAGAGUGAUACUUGGGGCUGUUCUAGUCCUACUGAGCCCUGCUUGAAUGUGGCCGUGUUCUUUUCUGUGAGAUCGAAUGAAGCUUACUGACUUGUUAGGUUCCAGACCCAUAGGUUGGUCUGAGUUUGAGAAGUGUCAAGUUUAGUCUCUCAAGGGUUGUGGCUGGCCU